CGGAAGCUGGGUGUAACCCUUAAACGGUCGGUAACCGUAAGGACGCCGACCGUAGGGUAAACUAGUGACUGGGCU
rnacentral:rRNA from 1 species